CCUACGGGAGGCAGCAGUGGGGAAUAUUGGUCAAUGGACGAGAGUCUGAACCAGCGAAGUAGCGUGAAGGAUGACUGCCCUAUGAGUUGUAAACUUCUUUUAUAAAGGAAUAAAACGACGCACGUGUGCCUUUUUGCAUUUACGUUAUGUAUAAGGAACGGCUAACUCCGUUCCAGCAGCCGCGGUAAUACGGAGGAUCCGAGCGUUAUCCGGAUUUAUUGGGUUUAAAGGGAGCGUAGAUGGGUUGUUAAGUCAGUUGUGAAAGUUUGCGGCUCAACCGUAAAAUUGCAUUUGAUACUGGCAGUCUUGAGUACAGGUGAGGUAGGCGGAAUUCGUGGUGUAGCAGUGAAAUGCGUAGAUAUCACGAAGAACACCGAUUGCGAAGGCAGCUAACUAAACUGUGACUGACAUUGAUGCGCGAAAGUGUGGGUAUCAAACAGGAUUAGAUACCCGAGUAGUC
rnacentral:rRNA from 1 species